CGGUAAUUCCAGCUCCAAUAGCGUAUACUAAAGUUGUUGCAGUUAAAAAGCUCGUAGUUGGAUUUCUGCGGGGACGGAGCGGCCGGACGCAACUUGCGUCUCGAGCUAGCGCUUUCCCCACAUCCUGCCGCGAACCGUGCUACCAUUAGCUUGGUGGCGCUGGGGAUCGGCUCGAUUACUUUGAGAAAAAUAGAGUGUUCAAAGCAGGCCACACGCCUUGAAUAAGUUAGCAUGGAAUAAUGACUAAGGACUUCGGUUCUAUUUUGUUGGUGUUCGGGACUGAAGUAAUGAUUGAUAGGGACAGUUGGGGCGGUCUGUAUUCCAAAGCGAGAGGUGAAAUUCUUAGACCUUCGGAAGACAAACAGCUGCGAAAGCGUUCCGCAAGGAUGUUCCCUUUGAUCAAGAACGAAAGUUGGGGGAUCGAAGACGAUCAGAUACCGUCGUAGUCUCAACUAUAAACUAUACCAGCUAGGGAUCGGCCAACGUUUAACUUUAUCGACUUGGUCGGCACCUUAUGAGAAAUCAAAGCAUCUGGGUUCCGGGGGGAGUAUGGUCGCAAGGCUGAAACUUAAAGGAAUUGACGGAAGGGCACCACCAGGCGUGGAGCCUGUGGCUUAAUUUGACUCAACACGGGAAAACUUACCAGGUCCAGACAUAGGAAGGAUUGACAGAUUGAUAGCUCUUUCUUGAUUCUGUGGGUGGUGGUGCAUGGCCGUUUUUAGUCGGUGAAGUGAUUUGUCUGCUUAAUUGCGUUAACGGACGAGACCCCAGCCUGCUAAAUAGCGCGGCCGAGCUUUGCUCGGUGCGAGCUUCUUAGAGGGACCAUGAUGCGCGAUAGCACAAGGAAGUUUGGGGCAACAACAGGUCUGUGAUGCCCUUAGAUGUUCUGGGCCGCACACGGGCUACACUGGCGCCUGCAACGAGCAUAUCAGCUGGCCCGAGAGGGUCUUGGCUAAUCUUUGGAACCGGCGCCGUGCUUGGGAUUGACCAUUGCAAUUGUUGGUCAUGCAACGAGGAAUGCCUUGUAAACGCGAGUCAUCAGCUCGCAUUGAAUACGUCCCUGCCCUUUGUACACACCGCCCGUCGCUCCUACCGAUGAAUGUUCCGAUGAAAUUUUCGGAGAGCGCCAGAGAACGGGGCUCUGCCUUGCAGAUCUGGAGGCUCAAAGUCACUUAAAUCUGAACAUUUCGAGGAAGGAGAAGUCGUAACAAGGUUUCCGUAGGUGAACCUGCAGAAGGAUCA
rnacentral:rRNA from 1 species